rnacentral:misc_RNA from 1 species
UCCGAGUUGACCCCGGCAGUCUCCCAUGAGUCCCCGCCAUCACGCGCUGGCAACAUGGAACGAGGGUUGCGCUCGUUAAUGGACUUAACCAAACAUCUCACGACACGAGCUGACGACGGCCAUGCAUCAUCUGUCACCGAGCUCAAUAAAGCACUCACUCCUUUCGGAGUAAUUCUCGGGAUGUCAAACCCUGGUAAGGUUCUUCGUUUAUCAUCGAAUUAAGGAACACGAUCCACCGCUUGUGCGGGUCCCCGUCAAUUCCUUUAUGUUUUAGUCUUGCGACCGUACUCCACAGGCGGGAUACUUAACGCGUUAGCUUCGCUACUGAGGGGGUCGAUACCCCCAACAGCUAGUAUCCAUCGUUUACGGCGUGGACUAC